GAUGAACGCUAGCGAUAGGCUUAACACAUGCAAGUCGAGGGGCAGCAUGGUCUUAGCUUGCUAGGACUGAUGGCGACCGGCGCACGGGUGCGUAACGCGUAUGCAACUUGCCUCACAGAGGGGGAUAACCCGUCGAAAGACGGACUAAUACCGCGUACACUUGGGAUAGGGCAUCCUGACCCAAGGAAAUGAAAUUCGCUGUGAGAUAGGCAUGCGUCCCAUUAGCUAGUUGGUGAGGUAACGGCUCACCAAGGCGACGAUGGGUAGGGGAACUGAGAGGUUGAACCCCCACACUGGUACUGAGACACGGACCAGACUCCUACGGGAGGCAGCAGUGAGGAAGAUUGGUCAAUGGGCGAGAGCCUGAACCAGCCAAGUCGCGUGAAGGAUGACUGUCUUAUGGAUUGUAAACUUCUUUUAGACGGGAAUAACAAGAGCCACGUGUGGCUCCCUGCAUGUACCGUAUGAAUAAGCAUCGGCUAACUCCGUG
rnacentral:rRNA from 1 species